GCCACACCUCCUCUGGCUGUGUGACACAAUCUGCAUGAAACAAAAUGGUUUUACUUUCAGAUGUUUAACUUGCUUUAUAAUUUUUAUUUUGUUUCUCCUGCUCUGUAAACUUUAGCCACACACAGGAAGCUCCUGCAGGGUCUAAGGUACUCUUAACAGAGCAGGAAAUAGUAAAUUCUCGCUUAAACAGACUGUGCAAUACAUGAACCUUAAAUAAUCUAGGUUCUUUUUCAGGAAGUGUUUGGGAAGGCUGUACAAGUCACUUGUAG